UUUUUAUCUGUGUCAGACUUAACUGAGUAUUUGAAUGGGUCACUGUUUGGAAUGAAGUGUGCAUACGCUGUCUAUUUUAGGACAUCUUCAGGGAUGUAUGGACACUCAGUCAUCUGCUCCUCUUGUUGUGUUUUCAGGGAUGAAGAGAAGAUGGCUACUGGAUGUUCUCUGGACUGGAUCCUGUAUCAGCAGCAGCAGUGGAAGAUCCAUUUUAGAUCUGGCUAUCAUCAAUAUCAUUUAUUAAUAUCAGAAUACAGACCUUUAGACUAAUGUGAGGAGUGUUGUCCAGUGUUCCUCAGCCCCUUCUGGACAGGUACAUAAUGGGACACUUCACGUUUCCUCAGUCCCUUCUGGACAGGUACAUAAUGGGACACUUCACGUUUCCUCAGUCCCUUCUAGACAGGUACAUAAUGGGACACUUCACGUUUCCUCAGUCCCUUCUGGACAGGUACAUAAUGGGACACUUCACGUUUCCUCAGCCCCUUCUAGACAGGUACAUAAUGGGACAGUUCACGUUUCCUCAGCCCCUUCUGGACAGGUACAUAAUGGGACACUUCACGUUUCCUCAGUCCCUUCUGGACAGGUACAUAAUGGGACAGUUCACGUUUCCUCAGCCCCUUCUGGACAGGUACAUAAUGGGACAGUCCACUUUUCAUCACAUCCCCCAUGGAAAGUUACAGUCCACUUUAACCACCAACACCCCUUGCCUCCAUAACGUACAUGGGACAGUCUCACAUUUCUUCUAGAAUAAGACAUGACAGUCAUCCACUCCAGUUCACCCAAUGGGAUUCCAACAGAAUGACUUAUUCUACUGCACAUGUCUAAAGCACUGCCUUUCUGUUUAUGACAUCACACUGAGCUGCUGAUGUACUUAUUGAAUAUGACACAUGUACUUCUAUUUUCUAAUUCACUAUAUUAUGCUUUUAUUGAAACUUGAAGAAUGUUGAAGAUUUCUGAGGGCACUUCAAUAUGCCACUAUUUCAACAACAUAUAAUAAGCCUGUAUAAUUGAGACAUGUUUACCUUCUCGUCGUAUCAAAUGUGACAAUAUGACAGUACAUUGCAGCACUUGUCAGGUCGCCAUUGUAAACAAUGAUUUGUCUCACCUGGAUAAUUAAAUGUUAGAUUAAACAAAUAAUACAUUGUUCCUCGCCGGUUUUGCAAACCAGUUGACAUCUCUAUCCAAACAGUAAAUGUUGACAUGUAU
ensembl:lncRNA